UCGAGAAUCUUCGGCAAUGAGCGCAAGCUUGACCGAGCGACGCCGCGUGCGGGAUGAAGGCCUUCGGGUUGUAAACCGCGAAAGUAGGGAGGAAAUCGCUGGGGGUUCUCCCCCAGUGUUGACCUAUCUUCAGUAAGGACGGGCUAAGUUCGUGCCAGCAGCCGCGGUAAUACGAACCGUCCAAACGUUAUUCGGAUUUAUUGGGCUUAAAGGGUAUGUAGGCGGCCCUUCAAGUCGGGUGUGAAAGCCCUCGGCUCAACCGAGGAACUGCGCCCGAUACUGCAGGGCUUGAGGGAGACAGAGGUAAGCGGAACUGAUGGUGGAGCGGUGAAAUGCGUUGAUAUCAUCAGGAACACCAGUGGCGAAAGCGGCUUACUGGGUCUCUUCUGACGCUGAGAUACGAAAGCUAGGGGAGCGAACGGGAUUAGAUACCCCGGUAGUCCUAGCUGUAAACGAUGAGCACUUGAUCGUGGGGCCCCCAUAGCCUCUCGGUCGCA
rnacentral:rRNA from 1 species